AAGAAUAAGGAUCGGCUAACUCCGUGCCAGCAGCCGCGGUAAUACGGAGGAUCCAAGCGUUAUCCGGAAUCAUUGGGUUUAAAGGGUCCGUAGGCGGUUUAAUAAGUCAGUGGUGAAAGCCCAUCGCUCAACGGGGGAACGGCCAUUGAUACUGUUAAACUUGAAUUAUUAGGAAGUAACUAGAAUAUGUAGUGUAGCGGUGAAAUGCUUAGAGAUUACAUGGAAUACCAAUUGCGAAGGCAGGUUACUACUAAUGGAUUGACGCUGAUGGACGAAAGCGUGGGUAGCGAACAGGAUUAGAUACCCUGGUAGUCCACGCCGUAAACGAUGGAUACUAGCUGUUGGA
rnacentral:rRNA from 1 species